AUAGCGUAUAUUAAAGUUGUUGCAGUUAAAAAGCUCGUAGUUGAACUUCUGUACGUGUCCGGUUCUGGCUUCGGUCAAGCCGUGACGCGUGCAUCCGCUUGCAAACCUGGACUGGCCUUUACUGGUCAACCAGGGGAGUAGGCCUUUUACUUUGAAAAAAUUAGAGUGUUUCAAGCAGGCAAUGGCUCGAAUACAUUAGCAUGGAAUAAUGGAAUAGGACUUUUGUCCAUUUGGUUGGUUAUUGGACAUGAGUAAUGAUUAACAGGGACAGUUGGGGGCAUUAGUAUUUAAUUGUCAGAGGUGAAAUUCUUGGAUUUAUUAAAGACUAACUUAUG
rnacentral:rRNA from 1 species